rnacentral:tRNA from 1 species
AAGCUUAGGUUAACUUAACUAAACCAGGGACCUUCAAAGUCCCAAAAAGAAACACAGCUCUAGCUUCUG